rnacentral:rRNA from 1 species
CCUANGGGUGGCAGCAGUGGGGAAUAUUGGACAAUGGGCGCAAGCCUGAUCCAGCCAUGCCGCGUGAGUGAAGAAGGCCUUCGGGUUGUAAAGCUCUUUUGGCGGGGACGAUAAUGACGGUACCCGCAGAAUAAGCUCCGGCUAACUUCGUGCCAGCAGCCGCGGUAAUACGAAGGGAGCUAGCGUUGUUCGGAAUCACUGGGCGUAAAGCGCACGUAGGCGGACUUGUUAGUCGAGGGUGAAAUCCUUGAGGCUCAACCUCAGAACUGCCUUCGAUACUGCAAGUCUUGAGUCCGGGAGAGGUGAGUGGAAUGCCUAGUGUAGAUGUGAAAUUCGUAGAUAUUAGGAAGAACACCAGUGGCGAAGGCGGCUCACUGGCCCGGUACUGACGCUGAGGUGCGAAAGCGUGGGGAGCAAACAGGAUUAGAUACCCGGNUAGUC